rnacentral:rRNA from 1 species
UGGCGCCUACGGGACGCAGCAGUGAGGAAUAUUGGUCAAUGGGCGGAAGCCUGAACCAGCCAAGUCGCGUGAGGGAAUAAGGCCCUACGGGUCGUAAACCUCUUUUGCCGGAGAGCAAGGGCGGGGACGUGUCCCGGCCCGGAGAGUACCCGGAGAAAAAGCAUCGGCUAACUCCGUGCCAGCAGCCGCGGUAAUACGUAGGGGGCAAGCGUUAUCCGGAUUUACUGGGGGUAAAGGGAGCGCAGGCGGCGUGGCAAGUCAGAUGUGAAAACCCGGGGCCCAACCCCGGGAGUGCAUUUGAAACG